UAUGUGAGGGUGGUAACUGAA
rnacentral:miRNA from 1 species